rnacentral:rRNA from 1 species
GGGCGUAAGAGCUCGUAGGCGGUUUGUCGCGUCUGCCGUGAACUCCGGGGCUCAACUCCGGAUCUGCGGUGGGUACGGGCAGACUAGAGUGAUGUAGGGGAGACUGGAAUUCCUGGUGUAGCGGUGAAAUGCGCAGAUAUCAGGAGGAACACCGAUGGCGAAGGCAGGUCUCUGGGCAUUAACUGACGCUGAGGAGCGAAAGCAUGGGGAGCGAACAGGAUUAGAUACCCUGGUAGUCCAUGCCGUAAACGUUGGGCACUAGGUGUGGGGGACAUUCCACGUUUUCCGCGCCGUAGCUAACGCAUUAAGUGCCCCGCCUGGGGAGUACGGCCGCAAGGCUAAAACUCAAAGGAAUUGACGGGGGCCCGCACAAGCGGCGGAGCAUGCGGAUUAAUUCGAUGCAACGCGAAGAACCUUACCAAGGCUUGACAUGGGCCGGACCGGGCUGGAAACAGUCCUUCCCCUUUGGGGCCGGUUCACAGGUGGUGCAUGGUUGUCGUCAGCUCGUGUCGUGAGAUGUUGGGUUAAGUCCCGCAACGAGCGCAACCCUCGUUCCAUGUUGCCAGCGCGUAAUGGCGGGGACUCAUGGGAGACUGCCGGGGUCAACUCGGAGGAAGGUGGGGACGACGUCAAAUCAUCAUGCCCCUUAUGUCUUGGGCUUCACGCAUGCUACAAUGGCCGGUACAAAGGGUUGCGAUACUGUGAGGUGGAGCUAAUCCCAAAAAGCCGGUCUCAGUUCGGAUUGGGGUCU